UUCCGGUUGAUCCUGCCGGAGGCAACUGCUAUUGGGGUCCGCCUAAGCCAUGCGAGUCGACCGGGCUUUCCUCCUUCGGGAGGAGGGCAGGGCCGGACGGCUCAGUAACACGUGGGUAAUCUACCCUCGGGUCGGGCAUAACCCCGGAAAACUGGGGCUAAUACCCGAUAGGUGGAGAGGUCUGGAAGGAUCCUCCGCCGAAAGUCCGGCGCCCGAGGAUGAGCCUGCGACCGAUUAGGUAGUUGGCGGUGUAACGGACCACCAAGCCUGUGAUCGGUACGGGCAGUGGGAGCUGUAGCCCGGAGAUGGGGGUUGAGACACGGCCCCAGGCCUACGGGGCGCAGCAGGCGCGAAAACUCCGCAAUGCUCGCAAGAGCGACGGGGGGACCCCAAGUGCUCUUGCACUGCA
rnacentral:rRNA from 1 species